rnacentral:rRNA from 1 species
GACAGAGGGUGCAAACGUUGCUCGGAAUUACUGGGCGUAAAGCGCGUGUAGGCGGACUGGUGUGUCGGAUGUGAAAUCCCCCAGGCUCAACCUGGGAACUGCAUUCGAAACUGCCAGCCUUGAGUGGUGGAGAGGGAAGUGGAAUUCCUGGUGUAGAGGUGAAAUUCGUAGAUAUCAGGAGGAACACCAGUGGCGAAGGCGGCUCCUGG